GACGAACGCUGACGGCGUGCUUAACACAUGCAAGUCGAACGAGUGGGAACGGGUGAGUAACACGUGGGUAACCUCCCAUCAGAGGGGAUAACACUUGGAAACAGGUGCUAAACCGAUACUGAUGGAUGGACCCGCGGUGCAUUAGCUAGUUGGUGAGGUAACGGCUCACCAAGGCCACGAUGCAUAGCCGACCUGAGAGGGUGACCGGCCACACUGGGACUGAGACACGGCCCAGACUCCUACGGGAGGCAGCAGUAGGGAAUCUUCGGCAAUGGACGAAAGUCUGACCGAGCAACGCCGCGUGAGUGAAGAAGGUUUUCGGAUCGUAAAACUCUGUUGUUAGAGAAGCGGUAUCUAACCAGAAAGCCACGGCUAACUACGUGCCAGCAGCCGCGGUAAUUC
rnacentral:rRNA from 1 species